UCCACUUCAACCCCCGCUUCGAGCCCUCAGAGAAGGUGGUGGUGUUCAACAGCUUCAAAAAUGGCAGCUGGGAGAAUGAGGAGAGGGUCAAUCAGAUGCCCUUCCAACCAGGGACGAACUUUGGGCUGGUCUUCAUUGUCACCAAACAAGGCUACAAGGUGCUCAUAAAUGGCGAACGAUUCUACGUGUUCAAGCAUCGCAUGCCGGUUCAGCAAGUCAGUGCCCUAAAGAUCACUGGUACCAUCUUAAUUAUGGCCGCCCGCAUGAUUGAGGUAGAAGAUGUAGACGAAGAAGAAGAAC